ensembl:lncRNA
UUUUUUGUUUUUAUUUUUUUGUCUUCUGUCUCCCUGUGCUAGCAUGGGAGCCCCAAGAAGAUGGACUCGACACCGGACUGUUGACUGCAUGAAUUAAUGAUGCGCCAAGUCCUACCGGGCUCCCCCAACCCUCACCUGGGCCCCAGGCUCCUCCUUGCAGGGGUGGGGCGGGGGGAGGUCUGUGUGGCUUCAGCUCCACUGGUGGGUGUGAUCUAGAGGAGGCCGCCCCCUGUGGUGGCCCCUGACUGGCCGGGGACCUCUGGCACCUCCCCAGGGUCUUCUCUCCCUCCCAGGCCUGCAGAGGGAGGGCAGGACUCAGGAAAAGCUCCCACCCCCAAUGAGGUACCAGUGCAUGUGCACCCAGGGUCUCGGCUCCUAUCAAGUCUCCCGGCCUUCACGGUCCUCAGGCUCUCUGUGCCCCCUCUCCAGGCACCCUAAAAUCAGGUCACAAUGCAAGCUGGCUGUGCCCAGGGACAUCAAGUCUGUGCCACGCUGUUCCCCUGCCUACAAUUACAUUGAUCACUUUCCCACACAGUCAGCUUCCACUCAGUCCUCAGGCCGAGCACCCACGCCACCUCCUCCAGGACGCCGUCCUGGUCAUGCCCCUCUGCUCCUUCUUGCUCCCAGCCCUGCCUGGCUCUGAAGCAUGCUUCUAUUUCUCCAUCUCAGUCCUUUGUGCUUGGGUAUCAUCCGCUCACCCUCUGACAGCUGGUUUAGGGUCCCAGCAGCCACCACAGUGCCUGGUGCACAGCAAGUUAGCUGUGGGAAGUUGGGGAGUCGCCGGCAUGGUACUCCAGCACCCAGCACGACGUCUAGGGCAGAGCAGUCAGGAAGCAAGGCUGGAUGAACAGAGGGGUGGGGGGCCCAGCGCAAUGUCAGGACUCACAAUGUGGGGAGGAAGCAGGCACAGGUAGCUUGUGGCUGCCCCAGGGAUUCCUCACCAGAUAAUUAUAACCCGGGGUUCCAAGAGCCACAGAGGAAGUAUGGAUAUGUUGCGAUGACAGCACUGAAGACGGAGUGAUUAAUUCUGCUGGGGGACAUCUGUUAAUGGGACAAGGCUGCCCGAGACCCUGAGCAGCCCUGCUGCCACGCCAGCCUGUUAGGCCCUGUGUGUGGCCUGCCUGCUCCACUCCCCUGGCCUUGACUGAAGCUGGGUCACUUUCCUUGUCCAAGGGCCUUUCCCUGCAGCACGCAAGCCUCUCUUCCCGACUCUGGGCCAGCUGUGUUGAUCCUCACUUUUAACAAACUGAGGGGCAGAACGGCCCGACAGCAGCUAUCUAUCCAACAACCAUGUCCCAGGCCGGAAUCCUCCCAUCCAGGGAGGGACCACUUCCUGCCUGUUAUCAAGGACAGGGCCAGCGGGGGUGGUCUCCUGGGGGUUGCCAACCCGGAGACGGCCAAAGCCCCGGGGCUGCUCAGGCAGGAAAGCCGUGCUCCGCAGCUCCACUGACUGUCCCUGCGGCGUGGCACAGCACUCACGCCCAGCAACAGACACGGAGACGGGCCUCUGAGUGCGAGGACGCUCACGAUGAAUGAGGUGCAGCUGCAGCUGGCUCUGGAGGUGAGCAGGGGGAUUCUGGCUCUAGAGAAAGAUCUAGGUGGGGAGAAAGGCAGCCAGAGGAGGAGUGAGGGAGAGCAGGCUC